rnacentral:rRNA from 1 species
AAGUUGAUGUUGCGAGGAAAAAAGAAAAAAAAACCAGGAAUUCCCCCUAGUACGGCGAAGUGAACAGGGAUUAGCCCAGCACCGAAGCCUGCGUCAUUUUGGGCGUUGGGCAAUGUGGUGUUUAGGUUUCCGAUCUCGGUGGCUACUUCAUUCCAAGUCCAAGCUUGAAUAUGGUGUUACUUGGCCCACAGAGGGUGAAAGGCCCGUGGUGGAUGGAGGUGCUGCUGAUUUUGGUUACCGUGGAGUCGGGUUGUUUGAGAAUGCAGCCCAAAGUUGGUGGUAAACUCCAUCUAAGGCUAAAUACUGGCACGAGUCCGAUAGCGAACAAGUACCGUGAGGGAAAGUUGAAAAGUACUCUGAAGAGAGAGUAAACAGUGCGUGAAACCGCUUAGAGGUAAACGGGUGUAGUCAAGCUGCAAGCUUUGAGAAAUCUCCGGGUUAGUUGGCGUGAGCCUGAGCACACUCUAACGAGAACGGUGGUGGGUCUAUCCUUCGGGAUGGGUCGGGCGCGUAAGUGUCCGAUUGGUGUAUGCCAGCCUGCUAUCGGUGUUCGGCUAGCCCGGCUACUUUCUCUUAGCGUAAGUCACGACCGUCGUUGUCGUCGGUCCGCUUUGUCUAAACCGUGCUGCGGGUAACCUUGUGUUGUCUGCGGUGCGGGGGCAGGUAGCUGGUCUACUUCGCUAGGUCGGUGUAAUCUUGCUGGGCCGAGUGGGUUCAUACCGUGCGAUGCGAUGUGGCUAGCGGUGUCCGAUUGUUGACUCGCCAAUGCUUGCUGGUGUGGCGUGGGUCUGGCUGCUUGUUGCUGUCUCCGACGGCCUUGCGGUGGCUCUGCUAUUGCUAGUGGGCGGCGUUGUUGAUGUCGGCUCUUCGUUGUGCCUAUAGUCUGUGGCGUAGUGGUAGACGAUCCACCCGACCCGUCUUGGAAACACGGAA